rnacentral:rRNA from 1 species
AUGCCACAUGGGCUGGCCGUGAGGGGUGGUGUGCCUUUUCAUUUGUCUGUUAUUUGGGCUUUCUUCCAGGCUGAAUUUUCUGUUAGUACUCGUGUUGCAUGGGGACAGGAAAUAGGGCUGUUCGCUUUGGUUUGUUCCCAUUUUCUUUUUAUUUUUUUCUUUAUUUUCUAUUUUCUAUUGCUAUUAUUAUUUAAUAAAAUAUUGUCACAUGUGUACACAUACAUCGAUCGCACACAAUUGCAUGUACAUUUAAUCACAUGUAAUUACAUGUUUUUUUGUCUGUGUCCGUAUGCAACUUUUUUUCUUUCCAACCGUUGA